rnacentral:rRNA from 1 species
CAAUAGCGUAUAUUAAAGUUGUUGCAGUUAAAAAGCUCGUAGUUGGAUUUCUGAUCGAGACAUCAGGUCGGGUCCGAGAGGAUCAUGUACUUUGAUUUUGUUUUGAUCAUCCUUGGGGAGAGCAUUUCUGGCAUUCAGUUGUCGGGAUUGGGAUCCUCAUCGUUUACUGUGAAAAAAUUAGAGUGUUCAAAGCAGGCCUCGGCCUCUGAAUACAUUAGCAUGGAAUAAUAAGAUAGGACUUUGGUGGUCUAUUUUGCUGGUUUGCACGCCAAAGUAAUGAUUAAUAGGGAUAGUUGGGGGUAUUCGUAUUCAAUUGUCAGAGGUGAAAUUCUUGGAUUUAUGGAAGACGAACUACUGCGAAAGCAUUUACCAAGGAUGUUUUCAUUAA